UUUCUCCUCUUUACCGUCUAGACAUCGUUGCUUCGUCCAAUUGCUUGGUUCCUAUACCCUCCAGUCUCCUCUUCACUGGAACACACAGAAAUAGAAGAUGUCAGCAUUCAUGGUAUUUCAAUCUAAAAUCAGUCCCUCUCUAAAACCCUCAAAUUUCACUUCACAAAACCUCCUUAAGGCCCCAAUCUUUUCUGUCAAACCCAAAUCCUUAUAUUUGCACGUUAACUUGCCUUCUAGUCUCAAAGUUAUUCAGACCACUGUAAAGCUUACCCUUUCAGCUUCAGCAGCUGACCCAAUUUUCUCUGAGGAAGAAACAC
rnacentral:misc_RNA from 1 species